AUAAUGUAAAUAAAAAAAACAAAGGGCAAAUAACGUGUGAUUUGUUUAUGACAAGUUUGAUGGGCUGUCGAAAUUACUGUCACGGAUCUCUCGCUCGCCUUAUAUAAUUGAAGCAAUGAUUCAUUUCCUUUAUUCCUAGACUAGAUAGAUGUGCUUUUCUACCCAUACACGUAUUCAUUCAUAACAGUAACUUUUUAUUUUAUAGACUAUACUAUACAUAGAGACUAGACUAGAGAGAGAAGAGAAUAGAAGACAGACCAUUCAUUCAUUGAUCCAUUGAUCUGAUGAUGGAGAACCAAGUUGACAUAGAGAAUGAUGGAGGAGGUAUGAUUGAGGAAGAGAAAUUUGAUUUGGAGAGAAAUUUUUCAACAAUUUCUGAAACUGGUAGCAUAAGAGAGCCUUUGCUCAAAUCUAAGAGCAGAGUCAACAAUACCUCCCAAAUCGCUAUUGUUGGAGCCAAUGUUUAUCCCAUUGAAAGCCUCGACUAUGAGUAUGUACUACUUAUCAUUUUUUUUUAUUCCUUCCAUCUCUACUCUGCUACUACUAAUAGUAUGAUUAAAUACUUUUUGCAGUAUUGUAGAAAAUGACCUUUUCAAGCAAGACUGGAGAUCUAGGAAAAAGGUUGAGAUAUUUCAAUAUAUAUUUCUUAAAUGGACUCUUGUGCUCUUAAUUGGAUUGAGUACUGGACUUGUUGGUUUCUUUAACAACAUUGGAGUGGAAAAUAUUGCUGGUUUCAAGCUUCUUCUCACUAGCAACUUAAUGCUUGAGGGAAAGUAAGUACAUCUUCAACUUCAGCUACUCUACGCUCUUUGUUCAAUUUAUUAAUUACAGAGCAGGUAUUUCCAGGCAUUUGCUGCUUUUGCUGGUUGCAAUGUGUUUUUUGCAACUUGUGCCGCAGCCCUCUGUGCAUUUAUUGCACCUGCAGCUGCAGGCUCUGGUAUACCUGAAGUAAAAGCCUAUCUGAAUGGUAUCGAUGCUCAUUCCAUUUUGGCUCCAAGUACAUUACUUGUCAAGGUUGGUCUCUCAACUCCUUUUCCUUUCUUGUGUACACCCUGUUGAUCGCUCCAUGGCCGUAUCUAAGAAGCAUAAUUCUAGCUUACAACAAUAACCGUUAUGAUUGCAAUUAAAGUUGAGAGUGUCAACAUGCAGGAGGUGGUUGACAGCCUGAGAAAUCAAGCAGUUUUGGUAGGAAGAGUUUUUGAUAUGGAAAUCAUAACUCUUCCUGGCAUGGAUUCGCUGCACGAUAUGGUAGAGAUUCAGUCUUGGCUGCACUUGUUCGACAAAAAAUUCCCCAUCCUCUAUGAAGAAGAAGUUCGUGAAUUUUACUACAAUGUUCAAUUUAGGUAAGAUGGGAGCAUCCUCACACGGGUAAAUGAUAUUGCCAUAUCUUUGGAUGAGGAGGUGUUGAGCAAAAUUCUCAUGGUGCCUAAAGAGGGGACCUGGUCUGUGCUAGGCAAAACUUGCUCUUCUGAGUUUGCUUCUGUGAUUUCUAAGACACCCACAACUAAGGUUGCUGGGAUUUAUAAGAAAAUCAUGAAGAGUGAGUAUCAGCUGGUCUUUAAGUUCAUCAACAAGGUGCUCCUUCCUCGCACAGAAAAGAGGACAGUCGCAACUGCUGCUGAUUUGUAUGUGACGGAGAUGUUGUGUAGCUUCGACGCCCUGAACCUCCCUGGUCUAAUGCUUGAACAUAUUCACAAAACCUUCAUUGCGAGGAAAGGUGUUCAUGGAAUGGGUUACGGAUACUUUCUCACGGAGGUAAGUCAAGCAUUUUCAAAUUCCUCUCAGUGUUGGAAAGGUUGGGACAGUUAAACAGACUAUCUCUGAGAGUACCUUGGUUGAGUGCGAAUGCAUUGAAGGAAGAGGCUAUCCAAAGAGCAAGAUGGAUCAACUUAUUGAUGAUCAGGAUCAUCUUAAGCACGAGGUUGAAGAGCUCACUAUGCGGUUAAGUGGUAAAGAGGUAGAAAUUGCUAUACUCAAAGCAGAACUGCUUACUGCACAGAGUGAGGGACCUGGUUCUUCAGUGAUUCAAGCUAUGGAGAAGGAAAAUGCUGAGUUGAAGGCGAAUAUCACUGCCCUGCAAGAAAAGUCCAUCAAAGAUAAUGAUGCUGCCAAUGCACGACUCACUCUUGUUAUCCAGUCCCUGUCUCAUCCUCCCCCUCUUCCUAGCCUAUUGAACACUUUCUUUUGUGUCAAUUUUUUUUGUGGCUUAUCACUGUAUUGAUGGAUAUUCAGUUUGUUUUUAAUGUAUUAAUGUUAUGAUGGCAUGCCUGUUAAUUUAUUCCUUUGCUGUUUUGAUUAUCUUCUUUUGUGCAUGCUUUUCCCUUACUGAUUGAUUGUUAUUUAGCUUUGAUCUUGUUCAGUAUUUCGGUUUACAUCAUUGUUUUACUGCAUAUCUUUUUUAUGAUGCCAAAAGGGGGAAGUAAAACUGUGAAUAGCUAAAUGAUAAUUCAGUGAGGGGGAAUGUAAAGUGAGGGGGAAUAUAAAAAGGGGGAACAAAGUUGAAGAAGAUCUUAGAUCACUGUUUCAUUGUUUGUCAUCAUCAAAAAGGGGAAAAUGUUAUUUGUAGUUUUGAUGAAUUGACAAACUUAGGGACCUUGUAAAGGUACCAGUUUCAUACUUGAGUAUUGCAGGUUUCUUACUUGAGUAUUGCAGAUGAAACAAACCCAGGGACCUAGUAGAGGUAUCAGGCUCUCAUGAUGACGAGCUAGUUGACUGCCAGCUGGAGACGGUACAGAAAGUAGGUGCAUACUUCCCGAUGGCGUCAGAAAGUGUGACUUUUCCAUCCAAUGGCAAAGAGGUUUAGGAAAGUGACUUGUCCAUAUAAAAGUCAGUUUCCUUAACAUUUUUUGGCAGUUUUUGCAACUUGAGAGAAACCUCUUCAAGAACAUUUGCAAUGGCUGCUAGAAACAAAGGCAGAAGUAUUCCAACAACAACAGCAAUCUCUGGAGCUUUUCGUAUAGUUGUUUAGGAAUACAUUCUCUUGUUCGUAAACUGUAAACUAUUCCUCAAUCUAUAAAGGAAUUGUUGUGUUGUGUUAAAAGUCUAGGUUGUCCAAGUGGGAUAACUUAGUGGGUAGAUAGUUUUCUACUUAGUCUUGUUAAGCAAGAGGGAUUAUUGCUUAACUGUGAGAUUGAUAACUUUUUCUUACUUUUGGUGUAAUCGUGUUUUACUUUUGCUUUUGAAGAUUAGUGAAAACGAUUAAAAAUCCUGUGAGACAAGUCGUGGUUUUACUCCCUUAAGCAAGGAGGUUUCCACGUAAAAUCAUCGUAUUGAUUUUACUGCAUUUAACUUUCUGUUUUAUUCAUUAGUGUAGUAAGGGACCUGGUCUAUUACUUGUUAAGUGAAGGCAUAUAUUCUAUCAUAAUCAUCUUUAUAAACAUUUGUUGAUAUAGUGUACAAAUUAAACAUGUUAUUGUUUACCCUUGCAUGCGCCUUCAUAUUAUUAUCCAAGUUGAUAAUUCUAAUUAUAACUCUUGAAGUAUUCUCACAAAAUCAGUAGAGUAUCUAUUGAAAGAAGCUAAGUUAUUAUAAUUGAAUCCAAAGUAUCAUCUCUUUGUGCUUAUACAUUUUCUAUAAUAUGAGAUUUAUAUAAUUUUACUCAUACAUGGAAGUAUUGAAAUAGAAUCAAUUGCAUAUUGUGAAUGAAUUCCAUCGUAUGAAUGUGUUUAUUCUAAUGAAUAUUUUCAUUUUAAAAAAAAAAUAAAAAAAUCUAUAGAACAUUCAUCUGAUCGACUUAAUUAUUAAGGGUUUGAUUCAAACAUGUGAUAUAUUUUCAUGAAGAGUUAUCAUCAUACUAUAUUUGUUUACUUACAAAGAUAUCAUUAGUUUAUGAAGCUAAUUAUACUCGACGUGAUCCCAACAAUAUUAUAUAACAAUUAUGCAACAUUAUCAAAAAAAAAUGUCAAUGUCAAAUCAGUUUGUCCAAUGAUAAUUUGACUAAUCUGAUCAUAAAGACACAACCACUUCAAUUAGAAGAUUUGGGUACUAUCAUCUUCAAGAGUUAUAAUUAUGUGAUACUUUAAUUAGCUAGGGAUGAGUAAAAUAUGUGCUCCUUAAUCAAGAUUUUAUUGCAUUUUUGACACCGCUAGUUAUAUGUAUUAUUAUAUAUGUGUACUCAAUUUUAUUCUUUAAUUUUUUUCUAAUAAAAUUUUAAUGAAACACAAUAUCGAUUAAUGAGCAUAUAUAUUAAAGAUAGUUUUGUAAAUAUAUUGUAAAAUAGAUGUACAAGCAGAUAGAACGAACCACAAAUAGAUUAAUCAUGAAAAAACUUGUAAUCAAACACGCAAUUACUAGCAAUCAACUUUUGAAAAGUCUUUCGGAUGCUUUCUAAUCAACUUCUUUUCUUCUAUAGAUAAAAAAUAAACUCUCUUUAAUUACAACAACUUAAAAUAAAAUUAUUUCUCUUCCCUGAUUUCUUUUGCUAUAUUUUUUAUUGUUUUAAUAUUUUGUCAUAAUUAACAAAUUUCACUCUAAUACUUUUAACUUUUAGAUUUUAAAAAUAUAACUCUUCCUAAAAAGAUGAAAAGGACCUAUUGAGCUCAAAGUCAACCCUCAAAUCCAGAGUAAAGUUGAGUUUCAAAAGGUGAAAAAAUAAUCAUCAACUAAUAUGCACUAUAUAUUUGUAUUAUUAAAAAAAUGAAACAACAUCAUAAAAGAAUGUAUAAUUAGAUUAAAAUAUGAUCUCAUCAAUAUUCUAUGAGAUAUGUUCAUAACAUCUAUAAACUACUAUAUAUUUUAAUAUCUUGUUUUCCAAAAUGAUCGUCAACUAAUAUGCAUUAUACACUUAUUUUAUUUUUAAAAAAAGGAACAAAGUCAUAAUAGGAGGAUUAUAUAGGAUAUGAUAUCUCAUUUGUUCUUAAUAUUCUAUGAAUAAUGUUCAUACCACCUACAAACUAUUAUAUAUUUUAAUGUCUUACUUUUCAAAUUGCUUACGGAUGAUAUUAGACAUUAAAGCGCGUCAUCUUCGUUUUAUUUAUAUGACACAAUAAAUUUUUAAAUAAUUUUUUAUAAAUAUUUUAAGUUAUUCCUUAUUAUAAUUUAUGUAGUAUUUUUACAUAAUUUUCAUAUAAGUUAUGUUACAUUCUUUAUUUCAAUUUAUUUAGUACGGAUAGAAUUUGAUGAGAAUUAUUUUUUAAUGUAUUUUAAAUAUUUUAAUUUGUCAAUUGUAGCAAUAUAUAAUACUUUUUACGUCAUUGACUUAUUUCCAUAUAAGAAAUGUUACUUCAUAUAUAUAUAUAUAUAUAUAUAUAUAUAUAUAUAUAUAUAUAUAUAUAUAUAUAUAUAUAUAUAGAAUUUAGAGAAUGAAUCGAUUUUUAUUUACAUAUAUAUAUAUAUAUAUAUAUAUAUAUAUAUAUAUAUAUGUAAAUAAAAAUCGAUUCAUUCUCUAAAUUCUAUAUAUAUAUAUAUAUAUAUAUAUAUAUAUAUAUGAAUAGAAUUUAGAGAAUGAAUCGAUUUUUAUUUCUUUUAAAUUUUAAAGUUAUUAAUUCUUCUGAUUUAUUGUAUUCUUUAGUUAUUUCAAAUAAUUAUUUAGACAUUCCUAUGUUUUAAAUAUGUUAUAGAAAGAAAAGUCUACUGAAAUUUUAUAAUUUUAAUUAUUAGGGAUGACAAUGGAGCGGUGUAGGAUUGGACGGUGUGGGUUAAGUUUAAUUUGUAAAUUUUUUAAUUUGCUCUGCAUAAUAGUUCUUUUCAUUUUCAACCCUCCUUGCAUGAACCCCGCCCGCAUAAUAUUUUAAAUAUUUUUUUUCUAGUUAUGUUGAUACCAAAGAUAAAAUUCAUAAAAUAAAUUUAUUUUGUCAUUCAGUUAUAUUUAUUUAUUAGGAUAGUGACUUUAAAUUUUAUUUUUUAAAGGUCAAUUAGAAAACAUGUAAGAAAUUGUAUUAUUUUUUAUUGAAUCAUUAUUUUGAAUAUUUUAAUAGCUUUAAUGAAAUUCUUAAUAAAUAAUGCUCUAUCACUUUUAUAACAUGUAAAAGUUAAGUUUGAACCCAUAUAAAAUCACAUAUACCCAUUAUCCGUAACCCGCUCAAUCCCACUUUAAUUUUUAAAAAAAUCCACUUCAACUCGCCCGCAUCAACCCUGUCCACACAAUCUUAGACGUCUCACAAAGCUUUAAACCCGUUUCGCUUGGCAUCUGCCCCUCCUUAUUGUCAUCCAUAGUUUUAUGAAAAUAACACGUAUUCUUUUGUAUACAUAUAAGAGGUCAGGAGGCACACAACUCUUGAAUGAUGUAUCUGCUUGAGUUGUGUGCUUUCAUGAAGAAAGUGGAACUCCCACUCAAACAUUUGAGUAUUUUUGCUGGUUUAUUUUUUUUUUCUUACUUUCGGUUUUAAUUUGUUAUAGGUUUAAAAAUAUAUAAAUAAAGCGAUAAAUUUUAAUAUAUCACAAAUUAAAUAUUCUAUUGUAUAUUUAAAAAUUACAUAAAAAAAUUAUACAUUACAGUAUUUAAGAUCUUGAAAUAUCUUAAUAUCUAAUGAGAUUUUACAAGAACACAACUCUUAACAGUAAAUUAAAUAUUUAAAAAUUACAUGAAAAUUACAAUAAUAAACAAUUUAAAUAUUUUAGUAUAUAUUUGAGAAUUGUGUAAAAAAUAUUAUGAAUUUAAUAAUUUUAAAAUAUUUUAAAGUAAAUAUAAAAAUUGAUUGAUUCUUAAAAUUAUAUAGAUGCAACAUAAAUUGGAACAAACGAAAUAACAUAUAUUAUUUAAAAAUUAUGUGACACAUACUAUUAAUCGCAAUAAUUAAAAGUUCAAAAUAUUUCUUCAAAACAAUAUAUAAGAAAAUCAAUCAACUCUCCAAGCUAUUGUUUGACCCUAAGCUCACAAAUAUUCUUGGCAAAUCCUAUUUGAAUGAAGUGUUUGGUAAAUUUUUACUAUGUGUUUGUCCUUAAAAUUUUUCAAAAAUAUUUGACUAUUUCAAAAAAUUUAUACCAUAAGCUUUAAAAUUAUUAAAAGUACUCAUAAAUUUAUAUUAUCAUUUUGUAAUGACUAGAUACUUUGAAUUAUGACCUUAUCAUAUAAUUGAUAAAAAUUAACAGUAACAAUAUAGGCAAGACAAUAUUUUAGUUGUUUACUCAAAUUUAUCACUAUUUCAAUUAUAAUUACAACGUGUUAAAUACAAAUUGUUUCUUUUUUCUCAAUUUUUCACUCAAAUAAAAACUCAAUCUUUUUUGGAGUCGGCAUAACAAAUAUUAGUUGAAAUAAAAAAUUCAAAUAUUAACCAAAAUAGUAGUUUUUUCUAAUAUUUGAGAACCUGCGAUAUUAUAUUUGCCAAAUUAUAUAAUUAAACACCAUUUUUCAAAUUUUGCUCAAGUAUUCUUUGGGUCAAACAAGUCCUAAAUUUCUUAGACGAAACAAAGUAACCUCAAAAGUAUUUCUCUUAUUUUAAUUGAUCAAAAUAUAUAAUAAUUAAGAACAACUAAAAAAUAAAAAGCGGGUAACUAAUUAAGAAGUGUGGGCAAGAUUAAAGAAGAAUUGAAGACCACUAUAAGUAGAAGGUUCUAGGAAAGAAAAUGUGGGGGAGAUAAUGUAAAUAAAAAAAACAAAGGGCAAAUAACGUGUGAUUUGUUUAUGACAAGUUUGAUGGGCUGUCGAAAUUACUGUCACGGAUCUCUCGCUCGCCUUAUAUAAUUGAAGCAAUGAUUCAUUUCCUUUAUUCCUAGACUAGAUAGAUGUGCUUUUCUACCCAUACACGUAUUCAUUCAUAACAGUAACUUUUUAUUUUAUAGACUAUACUAUACAUAGAGACUAGACUAGAGAGAGAAGAGAAUAGAAGACAGACCAUUCAUUCAUUGAUCCAUUGAUCUGAUGAUGGAGAACCAAGUUGACAUAGAGAAUGAUGGAGGAGGUAUGAUUGAGGAAGAGAAAUUUGAUUUGGAGAGAAAUUUUUCAACAAUUUCUGAAACUGGUAGCAUAAGAGAGCCUUUGCUCAAAUCUAAGAGCAGAGUCAACAAUACCUCCCAAAUCGCUAUUGUUGGAGCCAAUGUUUAUCCCAUUGAAAGCCUCGACUAUGAGUAUGUACUACUUAUCAUUUUUUUUUAUUCCUUCCAUCUCUACUCUGCUACUACUAAUAGUAUGAUUAAAUACUUUUUGCAGUAUUGUAGAAAAUGACCUUUUCAAGCAAGACUGGAGAUCUAGGAAAAAGGUUGAGAUAUUUCAAUAUAUAUUUCUUAAAUGGACUCUUGUGCUCUUAAUUGGAUUGAGUACUGGACUUGUUGGUUUCUUUAACAACAUUGGAGUGGAAAAUAUUGCUGGUUUCAAGCUUCUUCUCACUAGCAACUUAAUGCUUGAGGGAAAGUAAGUACAUCUUCAACUUCAGCUACUCUACGCUCUUUGUUCAAUUUAUUAAUUACAGAGCAGGUAU
rnacentral:lncRNA from 1 species